UCCGCAUUCCAGUGAAAAUGCCCUAAUCACACAUGGAGCAGGUAUCAGGCACGAACCUCAGCCCAAGACACCAAGCUACGCCACACCCACACGGGCCCCAGCAGUGAUAAACAUUAAGCAAUAAGCGACACUACCACUAAAGCUUGACUUAGUUAUGAUUAAUUAGGGCCGGUUAACCUCGUGCCAGCCACCGCGGUUAUACGAGGGGCCCAAAAUAGCAGACUUCGGCGUAAAUCGUGGUUAGAAUAACGACCCCAACAUUAAGAGCUAAACUAUAGUCUAAAUGUAAAACACAGGCUAAAUGAAAACAAACACUCUUAACACAAGGUUAUUUGACCCACGAAAACUAAGAAACAAACUAGGAUUAGAUACCCUACUAUGCUUAGUCGUUAAUAUGACACCCUACAACACCUGUGUCCGCCAGAAGACUACGAGCGAAAAGCUUAAAACUCAAAGGACUUGGCGGUGCUCCACACCAACUUAGAGGAGCCUGUCCUAUAAUCGAUAAUCCACGCUAAACCUCACCAAUCUUUGCCAACACAGCCUAUAUACCGCCGUCACCAACUUACCUCAUGAGAGAAGAACAGUAAGUAUAAUAGUUCAACAACUAAAACGUCAGGUCAAGGUGUAGCUCAUAGAUUGGAAGAGAUGGGCUACAUUUUUUAAAAUAAAAAACACGGCACGACACUAUGAAACAAGUGCCCAAAGGUGGAUUUAACAGUAAAAUUAGCAAGAAAGCUAAUUUUAAGCCUG
rnacentral:rRNA from 1 species